rnacentral:lncRNA from 1 species
CAUUCAUUUUUGUUGUAAUCUCAUAAAGUAUUUGUGAUACACAAUUAACUCUUUAUACAUGCAUAUGUAUAUAUCUCUAUAUGUAAUAUCUAUAUUGAUUUUCUAGAUCAAUCAUUGCCUAGUAAUUGCACUGAGUUUCGGUAUAGCAAUUUUUCCUCCAGUUAUGGAAAUGGAAUUGAGAGCUUGCACUUGGGUUUGACAAUCAACCAAACAACACUUAAGCUGUGAGAAAAAGAGGUAAUAUCUUUCUAUUUUAGCAUUUGAAUGCAUAAAUAAAUGUAGGAUUUUUUAUAUAUGAGAUCAAGUCAAUGAUUAAGUACAUUUGGCUGGAAAUUUGUUCAUCCUUGUGUAAAAUGAAUUUGAUAUGUUAUGAGUCCAAAUGAACAGAAGUGAUAGCUCUAUUUUGCAGGACAAAAAGAUUCAUUUAGGCAACCAAGAGUUCGAUCAGAAUAAAACUUAGCUUGUUAUUUGUUGUUAUUGUGGUGUUCUUGGAUUAGAUGAUAGUGACUAGUGAGAAGUUUUCCUCUUAUCAUUUAUUUGGGAGCACAAAGCCUAAAUCAGGAUUAGAUGAUAGCUUACCCAGGUUAUUGAGAAUAAGUAUUGAUAUAUAUAUAUUUUUUUAAACGCUGUUCACUUGUUCUUAGAAUGAGAGAAGUUUUCAUGGACAAGGGUUUAUUAAACUACAUAAUAUUAAUUUUCCACUUUAAUGUCAAAGCAAGUACCUCCAGGUUUUAGCAUCAGAUCAGUUCUUGGUGAGAGGGUAAGUGUGAGAGUAGGAGUGUGCAAUAAAGAAAACAGCAAUUUGUGUCUGAUUUUGCUGAAACCAAGAAAAACGUUACUAUACUAAUCUGAGAUUAAUUAAAAUUUCCUAUUCAUCAUAUCCAUAUUUACUAAUAAAUUACUGAAUUAUAAAUCAACAUGAAAGGUUACAGGACUUCCCUUCCUUUUCUGUCCCUUCCCUCUAAGCAUAUAUCGUGUCAUAGAUACUGCUAAUUAAUUAAUUUUUAAAUUUUUAUUUAUUUAUUUUUACUUUAACAAAGAUGAUCACUACAAGGUCGUUUUUUGUGAGUGGGAUAAUUGAUUUCCACCUUGAUUGCUGGCGGUAACAAGACUUAUACAGUGACAGACGUAGAUAUUUAGAGUCAUUGAAACACAAUCAAACUUAUAAAAAAGUUACUAAAAGUUUAAUAUAUUUGAUAUCUUAUGACAACUGUUCUCUAUGCGUUCUAACGUUCCAUAAUUAUAUUAUUUUCAAUACUUUAAACUCAGAUUUACAUUUAACGUACUUUUCUAUACUUGAUACAAACAACCAAUUAAAACGAUUAAUUCGAGUGAAAAAAAUAAUCCGUUUAUCAAUAAUUACAAGUUUACCAAUGAAAACAAUCAAUUCAAUUGCUAUUUGGUAAUGGAAGGACACUCUUCUUUCUUCGUAAUUUUGGAGCCUAUUAAAACAAUCACCACUACCACCAAAAAAAAUGUGGGUCUGGUGGGUCACUUGACCCAUUAGGAUCCAAUGUUUGGUAAUGGAAGGAGACUUUUCUUUCAUCUAAAGCUGGUGGGUCACUUGACCCACUACGAUCCAAUGUGGGUCUGCCAAUGCACUUAUAUGUUGGAGCUUAAAGCGGCUGAAGUCCUAGAUCCUAUCAAAGGAACCUAGCGUUCUAUUGCAAACAUGAACUUGUGUGAUGCAGCAGUUCUUGAUGGGAGGCUUCGUGUGACAGAAGGUUGGUUUUGGCCUUUCUAUGUUGUACCCAGGGAUAGGUUUAUGACCUGAUAACAGAUAAUUUGGCAGAUAUGGUGAUUGCGAGAAGGCUAGACUGGUUCAUGGGCAUCUGAAGGUUUGUCACAAUUUGAUUCUUGGUAUAUUGUAGUACAUUCUGUGUCAGAGUAGAUAUGCAAACCCUUCUGUGUCGAUGCUGGGAUAAUAGGAUCUAUGAGGUAGGUCAGCAUCUUCAUCUUGUCGUGGGCCACAUCUUAUAAAUAUCGCAUCCACAGUACUGAAAAAGAUUCUCUUUGGUUGCCAUUUUUCUCUGCCUAAAAUGAAUUAAUCGAACGUUGCCACCCACUUGUCUGACAAAUUGUAUAGUCAGUAAAUUUUCUCUUUCCCUCAACAUCCCCUCCCACCGACACUUUCCUUUUCCCACAUUCGUCUUCUAACCCGGCGAAGAGCACCCAAAACACAGGCCAAAAAUUUUAGCAAUCGCACUAUCGAUGUCGACUUUCACCUUCCCACACAUGGACGACUUCCCACAGCAACUGUCAUCGGUUCCACUCAAACCACACUCCACAACAACGCUUGAUCGACGUAGUGAUAGUGAUCGACAAUGGAUGAAUCCAAAAAAUAGGUACAAAUAUUGCGUUAUCUUUCCAUCUUCCACUUCCCCUUGGUUUUUGUACUGUUAAAGACCAACUCUUCCACUUCCCAGCCAAGGGAUUUCACUCACGGACAUUCCAACUCAGCGAUGGGGACGGUGUGACAGAUGGCCUCAAAGUCCUACGCUCGUUGGAGCUCGGCACCCACCCAAGCUUUCAUUGUUGCAUGCGAGAUCGCCAUUGCUGAAGGGCAUCAGAACGGUCGGUGUUUUACAAAACAUGGGUGAGAACGAGUCGCCUCACUCUUCGACUCCGUGACCAGCCAUAACUGGACCCACUAGCAGCUACGAAAUCAUUGGUAUUAAAUGCGUCGAAUAUACAAGCAUCUAUCGAAGCUUGUCAACAACAGCAGAAUCGAGUAUAACGACGCUACCGACCGAAUAGUUGUUUCUGAAGAAUGGUGGCACAAGAAGAUUCAGGUAAUGGACUCCCAGUUUCACCUUAACCCGAUUAUGGACAAGACUGACUACAUGACUAGUGAUUGCCUUUCCGGUGGUAAAAUUGAUGUUUGUUCACAUGUGCAUCAUACAACAUAUUAUCCCCUGGACUGUGGCUUUACAUUGCCGAAAAUGAACAAUGCAUUUACCAAAAUUAUUGUUAGAUUUUUUCUAAUUUCAGUUUCAACAUUAUUGUAUUGCCUUAGGUGUUUAUGCUUUGAGAUUCUUUUUACUUCCACCGGUUGUUGGAACUUGACAAUGCACUAUAUUGUAAAUGUUGGUUGCGCUGCAAAGUUCAUUACAGCAGUGUUGUGAUUGUUCGACCGCUACUCAUUUCAGAUUCGAGUGUUCAUUGAUUUGCUUGCUCAAUUCGAUGGUUGUGUCUUGUGUGAUACGUCUUCAUGGUUUUUACCUGUCGUUCUUUACUGGGUUUUCAUUUCUUCAAAACCUCGUGCUAUAACAUUUUUCUCAACCACAACAACGUGUUUCUUACAUGCUAAUGGGAUUAUUUAACACUUCGAAUAUAAUUGUGGAUUGAUUCCUGUGCAUGCAAUGAAUUGCUCGUGUCGUUAACUUCAUGCCCUAUAUUACACCUCUGUAGAGUUGUUUCUUUGUUUUGACACAUGGCGAAUUACGUUUCACAAUGGUACUCUCAUUGCUGAACCUGUGCUGUGCAGGAGAACAAGGAUUAUAAAGACUUCAAGGACAAGGACGUCAGUGAGAUAUACAUAAAGUACCGUUAGCUAUUCGACGACAGCUACGAUGGAGACAAGUAUGCUAUGACUCCAAUGAAGUUGUGCAGAAGAAGAUUCAGCAUGUACGAGGAUAGUGCGCUUGAGAACACUAGGGAUGCAAUCUUGGUGGACGGAGAGGGUAGUGGUUCGAGCGACGAGGCCGAACAGGCGGGGGCCGGUGAUCGCGUGAACGUUUCGAGCACAACAAGCGGCAGUAAAAGGAAGUCGUCCAGUGGGCAGCGCAGGGCCAGGAAGAAAAAUAUGUCCGCUCGUGAAUUGUUAUUCUAAGUAGAUCGUACCACCAGUGUGGCGGAGGAAGUGGCGGCAAAGAUUCAUACGAUGAUGGCUUCAAAUGAAACCGCUGGGAUGGACUGCAUCCAAGAGUUGUUAGUGACAGGCUGCCUCGAGCGGCGAACACCUCUUUACUUCUUCACAUGCCAGCUUCUAGCCCAGAAGCGAUACCGUGACAUGCUUGCCAUCAUGAAAGACGCAGAUAAGAAAUUUGAGUGGAUUGAGUGGAUGUUUAAUGACCGUGGGAAGUAACAAUGCCAGUGACUGUGUGCCUUUUUUUUUUCCUUUGCUGCCUGUAUGAAAACUGUUGUAUUUUUGUUACGCACUUUUCUCCACUUGUUCAUUAUGCGUUCGAAGAUGCUAUAUGCUGUUAAAUUCAUUCACGCAUUUCACACUCAAUUACGGAAGGAAAAAACAAAAACCACACUGUUCCACAAACGGAUCCAUGGCCAAACUAAAACUGGAGUAGGUUGUGACAUGUCCAAAUUUUCCCUAUCAAGCCAAAUGUGUCAGGUCACUUUUGCAACUAUCACUGUUCAAACUUUACAAAAAGCAGAUGGCACUAUGCGGAAUUUUAGCUCCAAUCACUGUAGUUGGGUUAAAAUGUGCAGUAGCAAAUUUUGCUGCACUAGCAGUAACCAGAGAAUAG